CGGUUACGGGGAAUUAGGGUUCAAUUCCGGAGAGGGAGCCUGAGAAACGGCUACCACAUCUAAGGAAGGCAGCAGGCGCGCAAAUUACCCAAUUCUAACAGCAUAAGAGAGGUAGUGACAAGAAAUAACAGUACAAGGCAGUUAAAAUGCUUUGUAAUUGGAAUGAUAGAAAUUUAAAUACUUUUUAAAGUAUCAAUUGGAGGGCAAGUCUGGUGCCAGCAGCCGCGGUAAUUCCAGCUCCAAUAGCGUAUAUUAAAAUUGUUGCAGUUAAAAAGCUCGUAGUUAAAUUUUUGCUAAAAAUAACCGGUCUGCUUUUAUUAAUAAAAGUGGUAUCUUGGUGUGUUUUUAGCAAUAAUGUCCUUUGAAAUGUUUUUUACUUUAUUGUAAAAAGCAAUUUUCAGGAUUUUUACUUUGAGAAAAUUAGAGUGUUUCAAGCAGGCUAACGUUUUGAAUACUGCAGCAUGGAAUAAUAAAAUAGGAUUUUAGUUCUACGUUAUUGGUUUUAAGAA
rnacentral:rRNA from 1 species